GAUCAUGGCUCAGGAUGAACGCUAGCUACAGGCUUAACACAUGCAAGUCGAGGGGCAUCUAGUUUGGUUUGCUUGCAAACCAAAGCUGGCGACCGGCGCACGGGUGAGUAACACGUAUCCAACCUGCCUCAUACUCGGGGAUAGCCUUUCGAAAGAAAGAUUAAUAUCCGAUAGCAUAUAUUUCCCGCAUGGGUUUUAUAUUAAAGAAAUUCGGUAUGAGAUGGGGAUGCGUUCCAUUAGUUUGUUGGCGGGGUAACGGCCCACCAAGACUACGAUGGAUAGGGGUUCUGAGAGGAAGGUCCCCCACAUUGGAACUGAGACACGGUCCAAACUCCUACGGGAGGCAGCAGUGAGGAAUAUUGGUCAAUGGACGCGAGUCUGAACCAGCCAAGUAGCGUGAAGGAUGACUGCCCUAUGGGUUGUAAACUUCUUUUAUAUGGGAAUAAAGUGGUCCACGUGUGGAUUUUGUAUGUACCAUAUGAAUAAGGAUCGGCUAACUCCGUG
rnacentral:rRNA from 1 species